UGCAAACAAUUUUGUAAUCAACAAUUUAACGAGUUUUAGUUGUUUAUUUAUACCACGUUAGUAGAAACUAAGACAAUACAGUAAAUAGUCAUCGAACACAAAUGUCAUUAAAAAAUAUUUUUAAAUAAAUAAAUGAAAAAUGGAACAAAAAAUUUUUAUCCUCUUUUUCAUUUUUUGUAUUAUUUCAUUGCCAAAAAUGAUAUUGUCCGAUAAUGUGUGUAACUUGCCCUUGGAAACUGGACUAUGUAAAGCUUACUUUCUACGAUACGGAUAUGUUGGUUCUAAGAGAAAAUGUGUCUCUUUUACAUAUGGAGGAUGCCAAGGAAAUGGAAAUAAUUUUAAAAGCGAGACAGAAUGUAAAGCAAAGUGCAGCAGUAGUUUCUUUAGAAAAAUAAUUGAAAUAUUCAAGAAAUUAUUUCAUUUUUAAAAAUAAAGUAAAAUUUCCUAAUU